UACGUAGGGUGCAAGCGUUAAUCGGAAGUACUGGGCGUAAAGCGUGCGCAGGCGGUUUUGUAAGUCUGUCGUGAAAUCCCCCGGGCUCAACCUGGGAAUUGCGAUGGAGACUGCAAGGCUAGAAUCUGGCAGAGGGGGGUAGAAUUCCACGUGUAGCAGUGAAAUGCGUAGAGAUGUGGAGGAACACCGAUGGCGAAGGCAGCCCCCUGGGUCAAGAUUGACGCUCAUGCACGAAAGCGUGGGGAGCAAACGAGG
rnacentral:rRNA from 1 species